ACCAGAGAGCCGGCAGACAGUGUACGGAGAAACAGCAAGAGAGGGAGGCAAAGAAGAGGAAAGUGCCAGAGCUACCUACAAGUAGGAUCCCAGAAGCCAACGCUGCUGAUCCUGUCAGGAUACACCAGCCCACACGGUCAGGAUGGGCUGUACAACAGGCCAUUUGGCUUGCCAACCACAGCCGCAAACCAACUCGGGGCAGGAGGGUCAAUCGCUAGAGACUGGUGGGGCCAAAGUGCCCGAGGUGCUCUCCUCUCUGGAGCGUCUAUCCCAGGCUACUGGAGGAAUGGAGAAGUCCUGGUACCGCUGCAUCUUUCCAUUUGGAAUCAUCUCUUUAGUUAUCGGUGUAGCAGGAACGGGAGUGACCUACACUUAUAAUGACCUGCCUCAGACUAAAGUGGUGUCAGUUGUGCUACUCAUCAUGGGUAUUUUGCUGUUAAUGAUGGCAACUGCUUGUUGGACUGUCCACAAGAAGAAGAGAAGGAAAAAGAAAGAGGGGGGCUCAUUCACGUCUGAGCAGUGUCCCCUGUGAGCGAACACAGGGGUAUGAUAGAGGAGCUUGAAAGCAGAGACAUGCCUAGAGCUGGGAGCUCGAGGUUUGGCCAGAAAUUCUCCACUUCACCUCCCAAUGCAACAUCCCUCCAUUCUCCGAAGUCACAAAGUUGAGCUCAAAUCAUGUUGGAGAUAGCUUGGGUCAAGAAAUCAGAGUCAAAGGACAGAUAAACAUGACACUGAAGAUCUGUUUAGUCCGUGAGGUCUGCAUCAGAUUUUUUUGGAUUGGCAAUGAGAGAUCACCAGUGCCUCACACGCUCUUUUAUCAUCAGACAGCAGGUGUCCGGUGUCAAAACAACCUCCGAGGAGACGUGCAAAAACAUGCAUUGGACACUGCAUGCAUAUUUACACACACUAACAGGCCUAUGAUGACUUACGCACGAGCAGUUACAGCGGGAGCUCACACAGACACCUAACACGCUAUGCAGAGCUGCUGCUGGAGUCAGUGCUGGCGUCACUAGGCACGUCAGUCACAGCAUUCCUCGUAUCAGGACAGGUGACUCUCCAAGAGGCCACAAACGGGCCAAAGACGGCAACCUGAUACCCAGCCGAAAAAGCAACGCACCCACGUCAGCGGCCAACGUCAUUCACUCGUCCUGUGACACUACAGCAAUGUGUUGGGGGCUUUUUUUGCGCAAUGGGAGAGUGGAACUUGAGUCCUGCUGGAUCUUACUGGCAUCUGUGUGGACGAUCAGUUGGAGAGGGUAGAGGACCUGCUGGAGGAGUGCAAAGUGUUUGUGUGUGCUCAAAUUAAGAUCCAGCUCAACUGAGAGACUUUUGGAAUUUGGUCCUCACAAUGAAGGAAAAAGAGAUUUGCACAUAUGACCAUGUCCAUGGCAAACAAGAAAACAUUUUAAGUAAAGCGACAUACCCUGAAAGGCCUUAUGUAGCUUCAGGUUCACAUUACAAAGGACUGGGGACCUGAUUAUGACUGACUUGAUUGCCUUUCUUUUCAAUAAGUGAGCAUUUACACUCAGCCCUAUGUCUUUGUGGGACACCUCAACUCCACACAAGGGAGUCCAGGAUUAUUGAAGGACACUGCCCUAGGGGACAUGCCACAGCAGGAACACUUUGACUGAUCCUGCUCCCCUAGGGCCCCUCCCGUUUGGUGCCUUGAGCAACCACUCAUGGAAAAAAGCUCUGCCACAUUCCCCCACUCCAAGAGUUACCCCCCUUUGCUUUCUCUCUUUACCCAACAGGACUCUUCAAAUCUGUUUCUCAUUCUACAUUGCCAGCUUCUGACUCAAUCAUACUCAUUUUCCCAUUGUUGUAUAGCCCAGGAGGUGUGUGGACAGACUUAUUACGCUCAAAUUAAGACACACACUUACACGACAGCCUCACAGUCUGCAGACAUUCAUGCAGUCUUUAUCUAUCUGUGCCAAAGGAAUUGGUUUAUUAAUUUUUUCCCCCCACUGUGGAAAAAAUGUUGAUUAAAAGUGAGUCACAAAAUCCUUUGUGAAUCAGAAAAUAGAAUACAAGGCUGUUCUCUGGUGAAAAUUGAGUAAUGCGUAGGCUCUAAGUGGCUCUGGGGUUUCCUUUUCCUUCACAUUUUCUUUUAGAAAGAGUGAGUGAAUGUAGCUGCGCUCAGCGCCACAUCUGUGAAUAGGUGCUUUCUCACAGGAUGAGAUAAACAAUGGCAUUUUACUCUGUCUUAAUCAUUCUCUUUUGUGUGACUGAAUGUAACAUGAGGUUCAAAACGUAACUCCCGCAGGGAGUAAGUGCAAUGUAUACAAUGUAUAGAAAUUUCAGAGAGGAUAAUUUGUCUCCAUGCGAAGGACUUACCCUCGAGAGCUACUAUAGAUCACUGUUGCAUUGAUUGUCUCCACUGGUUUAGUCAAGCUUGCUAAGGAAAAUCUGUCUGUAUAACCAGGGGUAACAGUUAAAUCGAAUGCCAAUCCCACUGAGGACCUUUUGAAGGCCAACUUGCCAAAUUCAAGGCUGCAUUGGUCAUCCUGCCCGACCUCAGUAGACUUGCAAAGAGUCGGCCCCUUUUCUUUUGACAUGUUUUGCGGCUCAGUGUGCAUUUAGAUGUUGUCUUGCAUCCUAAUGAAGGAAGACAAAUACAGUUAGGAGGUAAUGGAGAAAAACAAGGAACCUGGGAAGUCAUUCCUUUCACUACAUGUGGCAGUGAGUAGUUGCCCCAGCAGUUAGAUUAGGAUCAGCCAUCCUGAACAAAGCAGUAAUAUUGUUGAGGAAUAUGAUGCAUUACUGGAAUCCAUGGCGAGAAUUUAAAUUGAAUAGGAGAGGAAUAAGUCUUCUCUGAACCUUAGAUCAGUGUGUUUGCAAACACCUGCAUACUGCAAGCCUUUAUAAAAAAAUUUUUUAGGUAAAUGUCAAAUGCACAAAGCUCAUAAAAGUAUUUAUGGGUGGGCCAUUGUUUUAGUAUCCUCUGAUGAAGACAAGUUAAGAAUUACAUUACAUGGGCUGUCUCACUUUGCUAUCAGAUUCGUUCACCUGGAUUAGGGUUUCUCUAACAAUGAUGGGCACGAGCUGUGGACAGAUGCGGUGGACCUGUCAGAGAUGUGGAAGAGAGGAUGUUUGGUGGCACAGAGAGGAAAAAAAGACGGUUAUGGAUCAGUUUACUGUGGGGAAACAGAGGAUCCCAAAAGCAAGAUAGGUGAUGUGCAUACGCUUAUACUCUCGCCUCUGUAUAGUGCACAUUAUAUAUGUAGUACACUUCGGCUGCAUUGUUGUACUUGUUAAUUUUAAAGCUAUAUCGUGCCAGUAUAUUGACACUAAACAAACAAAAAAAAAAUGAUGGAAGGUGACCAGAAAUUGUUUCUUGUUUCUUGGAGAUGUGAAGUGAUUUCCCUUCUGCCUUCUGAAAGAUUAAAGGGAAAACCUACCUCUCUCUGCUGCGGGGAAAAAUGUCCCUCUCCCAGAAGACAGCCACGCUGUCAGCCUAUGCUGUUUGUCACUCCGGCGAGUGACACAAAAUACGUUGGUUUGUGUGCCCACUAAUAUUUGGUGCUGUAUAUACAAUUAUUUUUCUAUUUGUACUGUAUAUUUCUACUCAUAUGUAAAUUUGAAUUGUUCAUGUAAGCACUGUAUUAAACAAAUGUCACAUAA